rnacentral:lncRNA from 1 species
AGUUACCUAGAUCAAGGCCACAUCAUCAAACCAGUUCUUUAUAUCUGCUGUUGAUUUGAUAAUGUGAAUGUGAAGUGUUACCAAAAGAAAUGCACUCAGAGAAGAAGACAAAUUAGCUGUAUAAACGAAUUGGUGGUUCUGACUUUAGCAGAGAAUUCCAGAAAUUUCAAAAUAAGGAAGGAGCUAUAUUGUUUUCUACAUCUUGGAUUUUGUGAAUAAUGCUGGAAUGAACAUGGAAAUAUGAACAUGGAAAUACAGACAUAUCUUCAAGAUACCGAUUUCAAUUUCACUGGAUAUCCAUCCAGCAGAGACAUUGCUGGGUCAUCUAGUACUCCUGUUUUUAAGGAGGAGAAGAUUCAUGCUGUUUUCCAUACUGGCUGUACCAAUUUACAUUCCUGUGAACAGCAUACAUGAAUUUCCUUUUCUCCACAUCCUUGCCCGCAAUUAUCUUCUGUCUUUUUGAUAUUAGCCAUUUUAACAAUUGUGGGUGGUAUCUCAUUGUGGUUUAUGUGCAUGUCCCCAAUGACGAGUGAUGUUGAGCUCCUUUCCAUAUGCCUCUUGGUCGUUUAUAUAUAUCUUUUCAGAAAUGUUUAUUUAGGUCGUUUGCUCAUUUUUAAACUUGGGUUUUUUUUUUUUUUUUUUUUUGCUGUUGUUUGAGUUUCUUAUAUAUUUUGGAUAUUAACUCUACCAGAUGUAUAGUUUGCAAAUAUUUUUUCCUCUGCAUAGAUUGCCUUCUCAAUCUGUUGAUUGUUCCUUUUGCUGUAUUGAAGCAUUUUAGUUUGAUGCAAUCCUACCUGUCUGUUUUACUUUUGUCUAUUUUACUUUUGUCUAUUUUACUUUUUCAGUCUGUGCUUUUUACUUUUGCAGUCUGUGCUGUUUUUCUUUUUGCUUUUUUUCUUUUUACUUUUUCUGUUUACUUUUUCAGUCUGUGCUGUUUUACUUUUUCUGUGCUGUUUUACUUUUUUUACUUUUUUACUUUUUUUACUUUUUUACUUUUUUAUUUUUUACUUUUUUACUUUUUUAAUUUUUUUACUUUUUUACUUUUUUUACUUUUUUUACUUUUUUACUUUUUUACUUUUCUGUGCUGUUUUACUUUUUUUACAGUCUAUGCUGUUUUACUUUUUCAGUCUGUGCUGUUUUUCUUUUUACUUUUUUUCCUUUUACUUUUUCUGUUUACCUUUUCAGUCUGUGCUGUUUUACUUUUUCAGUCUGUGCUUUUGGUGUGACAUCCAAAACAUCUUUACUGAGACCAAAAUCAACAAGACUUUCCUCUCCGUUUUCUUAUAGUUAUUUUCUUUCAGUCUUACAUGUAAUAUUUAAUCCACUUUGAAUUUAUUUUUGAACAGGAUGUUUAAUAAUGGUCCGAUUUCAUUUUUCUGCAUGUGGAUAUCCGAUUUUCCUGACACCAUUUAUUGAAGAGACUAUCCUUUUCCCACUGUGUGUUCGUGGAAACUUUGGUGAAGAUUGGUUGUCAGUAAAUGUGCGGAUUUAUUCCUGGGCUCCGUGUUCUGCACCACUGGCCUGUCUGUCUGUUUUUAGGUCAUUACUAACCACUUUAAUUGCUCUAGCAUUUUAACAUGCUGUAAAAUCAGAAAGUGUGACGCCUCCAGCUUUGUUCUUCUUACUCGAGAUUGCUUUGGCUAUCUGAAUCUUUUGUGGUCUCAUUUGAAUUUUAGGAAUUUUUUUAAUUGAUUCUGUAAAAAAUGCAUUGGGUCACUGUCACGUUGGGUGUGCUGAAGAAGACCACUGGGCCUUGUGGGACUGGCUGUAUGUGGGAGUCCACAGGAGCAAAACAACUAGAGCCAGUCUGCUAAAAUGUAAGAGGCUAAGAGUAUGGUACAGAAAGAUUAUUGAUGUUCUUGAGCAAAUCCCUAAAAAUGCAGCAUAUAGAAAGUAUACAGAACAGAUUAUAAAGGAGAAGCUGGCUAUGGGUAAAGUGGAACCAGCUGUUAAGAAAUUAGAAGAUCAACUUCAAGGUGGUCAAGUACAAGAGGUGAUUCUUCACACUGCAGAUGAACUAAGUCUGGCGAGAAAAAUGAGCCGAGGAAUCCAUGGGAGCUCUUAGUGGAAGAGCCUCCCCCUAGUCAGUGGAGAUGGCCAAUAUAAUUAUUAAAUGACUUUAGUGGCUUGAUGGGAAACUGAUGUAAUUAAAUAGACUGUUAUAUUAAGAGUGUGCCCAUGUUAUUGACAUUUUAUAAUCAAGAAAACUGAUAUAGAAAAUAUUUGGGGGGCUUGUUAAGGUUAGUGAUUACGGUAACACAGUCUCGUGGAUUAAUUUUUUAUUUGUAAAGUAUUCACAUAAAUUAUUACAAAGAUGAUAUGUCUUUGAACAGAGAGGUCCUGGGAAGAUUUGAAAUUAACUAGAAACAUUCUUACAAAUCUUCCGUGCAGAAGCCAUUUUCAAAAAGUAAAUUUUCUUUAGUAGAAUCUUCAAUGCAUCAUUUAAUUUUUUUAUUAUCCUGAAGAAGAAAAGGCCCUUAAAUAUUAUCGUCUAAACAAACGUAUAGAUCACUGUUUGAAGUAAAUAAUAAAGUGAAUACUUUCAAAUGUGAUUAAAUAGCCCAAGUCACUGAAAAUUUGAAAUUAUAGUUAACUUUUUUGUCUGUGAUC